rnacentral:rRNA from 1 species
AAAGAUUAAGCCAUGCAUGUCUAAGUAUAAACAAAUCUAUACAGUGAAACUGCGAAUGGCUCAUUAAAUCAGUUAUAGUUUAUUUGAUAGUACCUUACUACUUGGAUAACCGUGGUAAUUCUAGAGCUAAUACAUGCGUUAAAAUCCCGACUUUUUGAAGGGAUGUAUUUAUUAGAUAAAAAACCAAUGCCAGCAAUGGCUUUCUUGGUGAUUCAUAAUAACUUUUCGAAUCGUAUGACCUUGUGUCGACGAUGGUUCAUUCAAAUUUCUGCCCUAUCAACUUUCGAUGGUAGGAUAGAGGCCUACCACGGUUU